GCCAUCUGCCUUCCCUGUCCCUGAGGGCCUCCCUGGGCCUGAACUCGGCCGGAGUAGAUCACUCUUGCGUUCUCCACUGAACCUGCCCCUCCUGCUUUCUUCAACCUCUUAAGGAAGCUGCUGGAGUCACCUUUGACUCUUCAACCUCAUCCGAAGCUGGUGCGGCAUUCUGGUUUCCUGUUGUUCCGGUGCAUACUAAAUGAAGCAUACACAGUAGCGUCACAGUGGCUCCCAGGGCCCUCAAGCUGCACUUUGGGCAGCGUGAGUUACUCCCCGAUCCCUGGUUAUUGACAAUGUUUUGCUCCUCUGGGUGAAGUCCUCCCAGGCCAGACCUGCUGGAGCCAGAGUCUGUCGUCAGGGGACAGGUGUGUCAGGGCAGGGCUGGUGAGCAUGUAUGCAGGGGAUCUGGAAGAGGCUUCCCUCCCGGCUGCUGAGAGGCCCCUGUGUAUCCCCAGCCCCAUCCGAUGCCUCUCUGGCCUUGCUUCAGCUCCUGGAAUUUUGCUAAACAUGUUCCCACUUGGGGCCUUCACACAUGUGUGAGUUUCCUUCCAUAGGGAAGCCUCCCCUGCCCCCUGUGACCUUAAGUCACACAGCGGUCCCCAACCUUUUUGGCACCAGGGAUUGGUUUCAUGGAAGACAAUUUUUCCAUGGGCCUGAGAGUGGGGAGGGAGCUGGGGAUGAUUCAAGCACAUUACAUUUAUUGUGCACUUUAUUUCUAUUAUUAUUACAUUGUGAUAUAUAAUGAAGUAA
rnacentral:lncRNA from 1 species